CUGGAAGAGGGUCUGGAAAGUGGUGGCAGCAUAAAUGAUUAUGUGAUGAAGAUACUCGCGGAUGGCCUAGGUCUACGAGGGGAGGAAUAUGAGCUGGAAAGAUGCCACAGAAGUACGAGACCACGCCUGGGACCUGGUCAGCCACCUCGAAUCGUGCUGGUGAGAUUUCUCCGUUACACUGCACGACAAAAAGUUAUCAUGACCGCUAAACAGAAGAAAGGAAUACUGUGGGAGAACUGUCGUUUGUCAUUUUAUGAAGAUAUGACCGCGGAGCGAGCGGCGCAGAGGAAGCUUUUCUCCCCAGUAAUGAAGAAGCUAUGGCAGCAUCAGAUAAAGCACACUCUGGCACAUCCAGCAAAACUUCGAUUAACAUGGAAAGGCCAGCAGAAGAGCUUUGACAGCGUUGAGGAGGCAGAGAAAUUCGUGCGUGAGAACUUUCAGGAAGUGGUGGAGUAAGGGGUUAAUAAGCUAAAUUACGUGCAUGGGAGCGCAUCGUUAAUAAUUUCAUAAGACGGGGGCGGGCUCCCUGGGGUGUCGACGGGACAGAAGGAGGACAGCAGUUCACUGUCCACGGGACCAUCACGGACCAGAGACAGUUUUGCCCACGGGGCUUUUGCGCUGUCAUGUUCCUUUUUUGGACGGCGCUAUUUCUUUUUUUAUGUUCGUUGUUUUUUGUUUUUUAUUUUUUUGGUAGAGAUUCUAUAGGUGAGGUACUGUUCUUGUUUAAACUUAUGUUCUGGUUCAAGCAGGGUUAUCAGCACAGGUUAAAUGGUUAUGGGUUGGAAGAUAUAAGGCUUAUAGAUACCUUAACAUGGCAUAGUCAUGGGGAAUGUGGACGUUAAUAUUGUGUCAUGGAAUAUAAAUGGCUGUGGCACACCAGUCAAAAGAAAAAAAGUGCUUAGCUACCUCAAGUCUCAUAAUGCUGAUAUUGCAUACAUCCAGGAGACGCAUUUUGCAAAUGAAAAUGAAGCAUUGAAAUUAAAAAGGGAUUGGGUUGGGAAAGUAUUUCAUAACUCAAGAUCAAGCAAGAGUCGUGGUGUCAUGAUACUCAUUAAUAAAAGACUAAACUUUGUGUUAUUGAAGGAAAGCCGGGAUGAAGACGGG
ensembl:lncRNA